UGGCAGGUCAGCAUACUGCCGUGAAUACGUUCCCGGGCCCUUGUACACACCGCCCCGUCACACCAUGAGAGUUGGGAAUACCCGAAGCCUGUGAGCUAACUUAUAGAGGCAGCAGUCGAAGGUAGAAUCAAUGAUUGGGGUGAAGUCGUAACAAGGUACC
rnacentral:rRNA from 1 species